AUCGUCGGCCCCGCGCCGGCGACUCGCCGAAUUAGUUUCUGACCUAUCAACUCGAGACGGCGGGGUAGAGGCCCGCCGCGGUAACGACGGGUAACGGGGAAUCAGGGUUCGAUUCCGGAGAGGGAGCCCGAGAAACGGCUACCACUUCCAAGGAAGGCAGCAGGCGCGCAACUUACCCUAAUCUCGAUUCGAGGAGGUAGUGACAAGAAAUACCGAUGCGGGACCCUACGGGUGCCGCGUUCGGAAUGAGUACGAUUCGAACCACCUAACGAGGAACGAUCGGAGGGCAAGUCUGGUGCCAGCAGCCGCGGUAAUUCCAGCUCCAAUAGCGUACGUUAAAGUUGCUGCAGUUAAAAGCUCGUAGUUGAACGUUCGGGUUCCGUCGGGACGGGGCCGCCCCGCGAGGGACGGCGCCGCCCCGGGCUCGUGAUAUCUCAUCUCGCCGCCCGUCGCGAGCGGACGGAGGGAUGGAU
rnacentral:rRNA from 1 species